rnacentral:rRNA from 1 species
CCUACGGGAGGCAGCAGUGGGGAAUAUUGGGCAAUGGGCGCAAGCCUGACCCAGCAACGCCGCGUGAAGGAAGAAGGCUUUCGGGUUGUAAACUUCUUUUGUCAGGGAAGAGUAGCAGAUGGUACCUGACGAAUCAGCCACGGCUAACUACGUUCCAGCAGCCGCGGUAAUACGUAGGUGGCAAGCGUUGUCCGGCUUUACUGGGUGUAAAGGGCGUGUAGCCGGGUUGACAAGUCAGAUGUGAAAUCCUGCGGCUUAACCGCAGAACUGCAUUUGAAACUGUUGAUCUUGAGUACGGGAGAGGCAGACGGAAUUCCUAGUGUAGCGGUGAAAUGCGUAGAUAUUAGGAGGAACACCAGUGGCGAAGGCGGUCUGCUGGACAGCAACUGACGGUGAGGCGCGAAAGCGUGGGGAGCAAACAGGAUUAGAUACCCCAGUAGUC